rnacentral:rRNA from 2 species
GAGUUUGAUCCUGGCUCAGAUUGAACGCUGGCGGCGUGCCUAACACAUGCAAGUCGAGCGGUAACAGGUGUAGCAAUACAUGCUGACGAGCGGCGGACGGGUGAGUAACGCUUGGGAAUCUGCCUAUUAGUGGGGGACAACCCGGGGGAAACUCGGGCUAAUACCGCAUACGCACUACGGUGGAAAGCCGGGGACCGCAAGGCCUGGCGCUAAUAGAUGAGCCCAAGUCGGAUUAGCUAGUUGGUAGGGUAAUGGCCUACCAAGGCUACGAUCCGUAACUGGUGUGAGAGCACGACCAGCCACACGGGCACUGAGACACGGGCCCGACUCCUACGGGAGGCAGCAGUGAGGAAUAUUGGUCAAUGGGCGCAAGCCUGAACCAGCCAUGCCGCGUGGAGGAUGAAGGCCUUCUGGGUUGUAAACUUCUUUUAUAUGGGAAGAAAGUACGGUUUCUACUGUAUCCGACGGUACCAUAUGAAUAAGCACGGCUAACUCCGUGCCAGCAGCCGCGGU